rnacentral:tRNA from 1 species
ACAAGAUGCCUGAUUAAAGGUAUAUUUUGAUAGAAUAGAUAAUGUAAUGAUUUAAAUUACUCUUGUUA